UACGGAGGGUGCAAGCGUUAUCCGGAUUCACUGGGUUUAAAGGGUGCGUAGGCGGACGGGUAAGUCCGUGGUGAAAUCUCCGAGCUUAACUCGGAAACUGCCAUGGAUACUACCAGUCUUGAAUACUGUGAAGGUGAGCGGAAUAUGUCAUGUAGCGGUGAAAUGCUUAGAUAUGACAUAGAACACCAAUUGCGAAGGCAGCUCACUGCGCAGUGAUUGACGCUGAGGCACGAAAGCGUGGGGAUCAAACAGGAUUAGAAACCCCAGUAGUCC
rnacentral:rRNA from 1 species